rnacentral:rRNA from 1 species
CGCUGGCGGCAUGCCUAACACAUGCAAGUCGAACGAGACCUUCGGGUCUAGUGGCGCACGGGUGCGUAACACGUGGGAAUUUGCCUCGGGGUAUGGAAUAACUCAGGGAAACUUGAGCUAAUACCAUAUAAUGUCUUCGGACCAAAGAUUUAUCGCCCUGAGAUAAGCCCGCGUAGGAUUAGCUAGUUGGUGGGGUAAAGGCUCACCAAGCCGACGAUCUGUAGCUGGUCUGAGAGGACGACCAGCCACACUGGGACUGAGACACGGCCCAGACUCCUACGGGAGGCAGCAGUGGGGAAUUUUGGACAAUGGGCGCAAGCCUGAUCCAGCAAUGCCGCGUGCAGGAUGAAGGCCUUCGGGUUGUAAACUGCUUUGUACGGAACGAAACGGUGGGCUCUAAUACAGUUUGCUAAUGACGGUACCGUAAGAAUAAGCACCGGCUAACUACGUG